rnacentral:rRNA from 1 species
CGCGUAGGCGGCCUUCUAAGUCGAACGUGAAAUCCCUGGGCUCAACCCAGGAACUGCGUCCGAUACUGAAAGGCUUGAAUCCGGGAGAGGGAUGCGGAAUUCCAGGUGUAGCGGUGAAAUGCGUAGAUAUCUGGAGGAACACCGGUGGCGAAGGCGGCAUCCUGGACCGGUAUUGACGCUGAGGCGCGAAAGCCAGGGGAGCAAACG